AGCGCCCGGACGUGCUGCAGGGGAGGGGAGGGCGGGCUCGGGAACGUGGUGCCCCGGAGCCCGACUGUCCGGGAGGCGAGCGGGGCAGCACUUUCUCGGGGAAAGGCCGGACAGCGGCCGGUCGCGGGCACCGAGCAGGGAGAAGUAGCGUGACCCGUACUGCUUUGGAAGAAUCAUAGUCGUUUAACAAAAACAUUAAAUCAUGGCCUGGGGUCUCCCAUCUCUGAAAAUGUGUUUCUAAAGUGUAACAUGAUGAAGAACCUCUGUGUGCUUAAAAGACGGUUGACCUUCAGACAGCCUAGCAGUCAUCCUGAGAAGAGGCGUCCUUGUUUCUCUAGAGGGUGUGCCACAUGAGCACGUGUGUGAAUGUGCACGUGUGCGUGUGCGUGUGCGUGUGCAGUCAGACAGCGAGAAGCACACCACCGACAGGGCCUGUCCCACGGCAGUCCUUUCCUUCCAGCUCUCCAUCCUGCUAGAGUCCUGGGAAACUCGCAGAGCUGUACUCAACGCCUGGUCGGCUGUGUGGGACCUGGCUUCCUCUGCCCAGCACUGAACCACGUACUCUGUUCCUGACCUUUUUUCAUCAAAUAAUCUCUCUUUACACAAUUUGGAAAUUUAAAGUAUAAGAAAUCUUGGAGGAAGAGAUAAAUAAUUAGCAGCUGAAGAAUGACUCUGAUUAUCAGCAGUGAAAGAGAAAGACCAGGGGCUGCAUAAGUGGCAGCUCUGACUUCCUGAAGCUGAGAGGAGGAAGGCACCGGAAGCUACCUGGAUCCAAUUUGUGAAGAGUGUUUUGGUGCUUUGUACUCAUGGGAAAGCUCAUUGGUUGAGUUUUGUUAAUUUUUCUAAAAUUUCAAAUCCAUUUCUGCACUUCUGGCAGCCAGUAAUCAUGGCCAUGCAGUCACUUAGAGGUGAUUACACAGACCACAGGAGGGUUUUCCAGUGGGACCUUCCCUGGAAGAAAGGACGAUUGGGACCAGCAGUUAGUGUAAUGGCUAUGCCGCUGGACUCCCAUGUAGUCGACCGCGGUUCGAGUCCCGGACCCAGUGGCUUAAACUCACACCGGGCGCGUGUGCGUGCGUGCCCAAGAU